UACGUAGGGUGCAAGCGUUGUCCGGAAUUAUUGGGCGUAAAGAGCUCGUAGGCGGUUCGUCGCGUCGGCUGUGAAAACCUGAGGCUCAACCUCAGGCCUGCAGUCGAUACGGGCGGACUUGAGUACUGCAGGGGAGACUGGAAUUCCUGGUGUAGCGGUGAAAUGCGCAGAUAUCAGGAGGAACACCGGUGGCGAAGGCGGGUCUCUGGGCAGUAACUGACGCUGGAGGAGCGAAAAGCGUGGGGGAGCGAACAGG
rnacentral:rRNA from 1 species